rnacentral:rRNA from 1 species
GGGGAAUAUUGGGCAAUGGGCGCAAGCCUGACCCAGCAACGCCGCGUGAAGGAAGAAGGCUUUCGGGUUGUAAACUUCUUUUGUCAGGGACGAGUAGAAGACGGUACCUGACGAAUAAGCCACGGCUAACUACGUGCCAGCAGCCGCGGUAAUACGUAGGUGGCAAGCGUUGUCCGGAUUUACUGGGUGUAAAGGGCGUGUAGCCGGGAGGGCAAGUCAGAUGUGAAAUCCACGGGCUCAACUCGUGAACUGCAUUUGAAACUACUCUUCUUGAGUAUCGGAGAGGCAAUCGGAAUUCCUAGUGUAGCGGUGAAAUGCGUAGAUAUUAGGAGGAACACCAGUGGCGAAGGCGGAUUGCUGGACGACAACUGACGGUGAGGCGCGAAAGCGUGGGGAGCAAAC